rnacentral:rRNA from 1 species
ACGGAAGGCGGCAGUGGGGAAUAUUGGGCAAUGGGCGAAAGCCUGACCCAGCGACGCCGCGUGAGGGAAGAAGGUCUUCGGAUUGUAAACCUUAGUUAUCGGGGAAGAAGAAAGUGACGGUACCCGAAGAGAAAGCCACGGCUAACUACGUGCCAGCAGCCGCGGUAAUACGUAGGUGGCGACCGUUAUCCGGAUUUACUGGGUGUAAAGGGUGUGUAGGCGGGGAUUCAAGUCAGAUGUGAAAACUAUGGGCUUAACUCAUAGCCUGCAUUUGAAACUGAAUUUCUUGAGUGUCGGAGAGGUAAAUGGAAUUCCCAGUGUAGCGGUGAAAUGCGUAGAUAUUGGGAGGAACACCAGUGGCGAAGGCGGCUUACUGGACUGUAACUGACGUUGCGGCUCGAAAGCGUGGGGAGCAAACAGGAUUAGAUACCCUGGUA